GGAGAGGUGUCCGAGUGGUUUAAGGUGCGGAUCUCGAAAGUCUGUGUGCAAGCAAUUGUACCGUGGGUUCGAAUCCCACCCUCUCCG
rnacentral:tRNA from 2 species